rnacentral:rRNA from 1 species
AGAGUUUGAUCAUGGCUCAGGAUGAACGCUAGCGGCAGGCUUAAUACAUGCAAGUCGAGGGGCAGCAGGUCUGUAGCAAUACAGAUGCUGGCGACCGACAAACGGGUGCGGAACACGUACAGAACCUUCCUUUAAGCGGGGGAUAGCCCAGAGAAAUUUGGAUUAAUACCCCAUAGUAUUGUUGAGUGGCAUCACUUGAUGAUUAAAGAUUUAUCACUUAAAGAUGGCUGUGCGGCUGAUUAGGUAGUUGGCGGGGUAAUGGCCCACCAAGCCUUCGAUCAGUAACUGGUGUGAGAGCACGACCAGUCACACGGGCACUGAGACACGGGCCCGACUCCUACGGGAGGCAGCAGUAAGGAAUAUUGGGCAAUGGACGCAAGUCUGACCCAGCCAUGCCGCGUGGAGGAUGAAGGUCCUCUGGAUUGUAAACUUCUUUUAUUUGGGAAGAAACCCGGAUUUUCUAAUUCGGUUGACGGUACCAGAUGAAUAAGCACCGGCUAACUCCGUGCCAGCAGCCGCGGUAAUACGGAGGGUGCAAGCGUUAUCCGGAUUCACUGGGUUUAAAGGGUGCGUAGGCGGGCAGGUAAGUCAGUGGUGAAAUCUCCGGGCUUAACCCGGAAACUGCCGUUGAUACUAUCUGUCCUGAAUAUCGUGGAGGUAAGCGGAAUAUGUCAUGUAGCGGUGAAAUGCUUAGAUAUGA